CAGGUUCCGCCGCCGCCACCGCCGCCGCCUCUGCUUCGCCUGCCACCGGGAUUUGUAUGAAAACACCGGGCGGCUGGCGGCGUGGGAUCCGCCGUGUUCCCAGAGAGGAGCUGCCGGCGCCUCGAGCGCCGAGCCGGGUGCUGCACCUCGGCCCAUCCCUGCCAGCGCCCCAUUUUACCGAUUAUCUGCAAUGGUGAAGUGAAGUAACUCAAGAUGAGCAAGUUAAAAGUGAUAUCAGAGAAAAGCCUUACCAAUAGUUCUCGGAUUGUGGGACUUCUGGCUCAGCUGGAGAAGAUCAAUACUGAAUCUACGGAGUCAGAGACUGCCAGAUAUGUCACAUCAAAAAUUCUUCAUCUGGUGCAAAGUCAAGAAAAAACAAGGAGAGAAAUGACAGCCAAAGGUUCUACAGGAAUGGAAGUUCUGCUGUCAACUUUGGAGAACAUGAAAGAUCUUCAAACUACACUUAAUAUCUUAAGCAUUCUUGUUGAGCUGGUGUCAGCUGGUGGUGGUCGAAGGUCAAGUUUCUUAGUUGCCAAAGGUGGUUCACAAAUAUUGUUGCAGUUACUUAUGAAUGCCAGCAAAGAAUCUCCCCCAAAUGAGGAGUUAAUGGUGCAGAUUCAUUCUAUUCUUGCAAAGAUUGGACCGAAAGAUAAAAAAUUUGGAGUGAAAGCUAGAAUUAAUGGAGCUUUGAAUAUAACCCUGAGUUUGGUCAAACAGAAUUUGCAGAAUCAUCACUUAAUUCUGCCUUGUCUUCAGCUUUUACGUGUAUAUUCUGCUAACUCUGUGAAUUCAGUAUCCUUAGGGAAAAAUGGAGUUGUGGAACUGUUGUUUAAAAUCAUUGGACCAUUUAGUAAGAAGAAUUCAGGUCUUAUGAAGGUUGCUUUAGACACUCUUGCUGCAUUGCUAAAAUCAAAAACAAAUGCCAGGAGAGCUGUAGACAGAGGAUAUGUCCAAGUGCUUUUAACAGUUUACGUAGAUUGGCACCGCCAUGAUAAUCGGCAUAGAAACAUGCUCAUUCGGAAAGGAAUUUUACAGAGUUUAAAAAGUGUUACAAACAUUAAGUUGGGAAGAAAAGCAUUUAUUGAUGCUAAUGGGAUGAAAAUUCUAUAUAACACUUCGCAAGAAUGCUUGGCAGUCAGGACCCUUGAUCCUCUUGUCAACACCUCCAGUUUGAUAAUGAGGAAGUGUUUCCCUAAAAAUCGCCUGCCACUCCCAACGAUUAAAAGUUCUUUCCAUUUCCAGUUGCCAGUCAUUCCUGUAACUGGACCUGUGGCCCAGCUCUACAGUUUACCCCCUGAAGUGGAUGACGUAGUAGAUGAAAGUGAUGACAACGAUGAUAUUGAUUUAGAAGCCGAAAAUGAAACCGAAAAUGAAGAUGACCUAGAUCAAAAUUUUAAGAAUGAUGAUAUUGAAACGGAUAUUAACAAACUAAAACCCCAACAAGAACCAGGACGAACAAUAGAAGAACUAAAAAUGUAUGAACACCUUUUCCCUGAGCUUGUUGAUGAUUUUCAGGACUAUGAUCUAAUCUCCAAAGAACCAAAGCCUUUUGUAUUUGAGGGAAAAGUACGUGGUCCUAUUGUCGUUCCUACAGCAGGGGAGGAACCGUCUGGAAAUUCGGGCAAUUUAAGAAAAGGAGUUGUAAUGAAGGAGAAUGUAUCGCCUAAAGGAGAUGAAGAUGCUAAGAAAUCUACCUUAAUGGAUCUAGCAAAAGAAGAUACUAAAGAUAAUGACAAAACAUUACAACAGCAGCUAAGUGAUCAAAAUAGAACUAUUUCAUCAGUCCAGGGCUUAAACAACGAUAUUGUGAAGGCCUUGGACCGAAUUACGUUGCAGACUAUUCCUUCUCAAACAUCCCUGGGUUUUGCUGCAGGAAUAAAGAAGGACUACAGUCUCCCUCUUACUGUCCUUACGUGCACUAAAGCAUGUCCACACGUGUCUACUUGUGGAAGUGUUCUGUUUGAGGGACGAACAGUUCAGCUAGGGAAGCUCUGCUGUACUGGAGUUGAAACUGAAGAUGAUGAAGAUACCGAGUCUAAUUCAUCAGUGGAACAAGCAUCAGUUGAAAUGCCUGAUGGACCAACACUCCAUGACUCAGAUUUGUAUGUUGAGAUUGUGAAAAACACAAAGUCUGUCCCAGAAUAUUCAGAGGUGGCUUAUCCUGAUUAUUUUGGUCAUAUUCCACCUCCAUUCAAAGAGCCUAUUUUAGAAAGGCCUUACGGUGUACAAAGGACAAAAAUUGCCCAAGAUAUUGAGAGGCUAAUACAUCAGAGUGAUAUCGUAGAUCGAGUGGUAUAUGACUUAGAUAACCCAAAUUACACCAUUCCAGAAGAAGGAGAUAUUUUGAAGUUUAACUCCAAAUUUGAAUCUGGGAAUCUGCGCAAAGUAGUUCAAAUCAGAAAAAAUGAAUAUGAUCUUAUUCUGAACUCAGAUAUAAAUAGCAAUCAUUAUCAUCAGUGGUUUUACUUUGAAGUCAGUGGAAUGCGGCCAGGUGUUGCAUACAGGUUUAACAUCAUUAACUGUGAAAAGUCCAACAGCCAAUUUAAUUAUGGUAUGCAGCCACUCAUGUAUUCUGUUCAGGAGGCAUUAAAUGCCAGACCAUGGUGGAUUCGUGUGGGGACUGACAUUUGUUACUAUAAAAAUCACUUCUCAAGAAGUUCAGUUGCUGCUGGUGGGCAAAAGGGAAAAUCCUACUAUACAAUUACAUUCACUGUCAGUUUUCCACAUAAAGAUGAUGUUUGCUAUUUUGCUUAUCACUAUCCAUAUACAUAUUCAACUUUACAGAUGCAUCUUCAAAAAUUGGAAUCAGCCCACAAUCCUCAGCAAAUCUAUUUUCGAAAAGAUGUGUUAUGUGAAACCCUGUCUGGAAACAGCUGUCCCUUGGUGACUAUAACAGCAAUGCCAGAGUCUAAUUAUUAUGAACAUAUCUGUCAAUUCAGAAACCGCCCUUAUGUUUUCUUAUCUGCUCGGGUACAUCCUGGAGAAACUAAUGCAAGUUGGGUUAUGAAAGGAACAUUGGAGUAUCUCAUGAGUAAUAACCCUACUGCUCAGAGCUUACGAGAAUCCUAUAUUUUUAAAAUUGUCCCUAUGCUAAAUCCAGAUGGUGUCAUCAAUGGAAACCAUCGUUGUUCUUUAAGUGGAGAAGAUUUGAACAGACAGUGGCAAAGUCCAAAUCCAGAUUUACAUCCUACAAUUUACCAUGCUAAGGGGCUGCUACAGUACUUGGCUGCAGUGAAGCAUUUACCCCUGGUUUAUUGUGAUUAUCAUGGCCACUCCCGAAAGAAGAAUGUAUUUAUGUAUGGCUGCAGCAUCAAAGAGACAGUGUGGCAUACCAAUGACAGUGCAACUUCGUGUGAUAUAGUGGAAGAUAUGGGAUACAGGACUUUGCCCAAGAUACUGAGUCAUAUUGCACCAGCAUUUUGCAUGAACAGCUGUAGCUUCGUAGUGGAAAAAUCUAAAGAGUCAACAGCACGUGUUGUAGUUUGGAGAGAAAUAGGGGUACAAAGAAGCUAUACCAUGGAGAGCACUCUGUGUGGCUGUGAUCAGGGAAAGUAUAAGGGUUUACAGAUUGGUACUCGAGAACUGGAAGAGAUGGGAGCAAAAUUUUGUGUUGGUUUAUUGCGCUUGAAAAGACUGACAUCCCCAUUGGAAUAUAACCUGCCUUCCAGCCUUCUUGAGUUUGAAAAUGACUUGAUUGAAUCCAAUUGCAAAGUAACUAGAUUUGAAGUUGAGCAAACUUUUUUGAGUGCCUGCAAUGUGUCAGGUACUUCUGGGAGCUGACAGGAGGGACUAAGAUUGGUAAGUCACAGUUCCUGACCUUAAGGUGUUUAUGAUUUAGUUCUGAGGGGACAGGUACAUAAAUAGAUGGUCUCCACUGUAUGUGCAGUGAUCAGGUAGAAUGUUUGGGCAGAGUGCAGAAUAGAGUAGGGAGAAAGGGCAUUUAUCCCAAUAGGGGCUUCAAGGAAGAACAUCUGAAGAUGAGCCUGAGCUGUGUUUUGAGACAAAUAUGGGUUAGUUAGAAGAAGAAGAAUGGGAAGUAUGCCUUAAGCAGAGGAAAGAAUGUCAGUGAAGGCUUGUAAUAUAAAGUGUGAGACAAGGAGUUGUCAAGAGAUUGACUGACGGGACUUUUUUAUUGAGAAUGUUGGUUUGGAUGACUCACUGAAUAAUGAUACGGAGACCAUGGAAGAGGAGCAGGUUUGGUGGGAAGAACGACGAGUUCAGUUUGAACAUAUUGCAUUUGAGAUGCAUGUGGGAGAGCCUUCUGUUUGUGUCCCACGAGUCCAUGCAUAUACAGAAGAAGUUCAGCAGAGAAAUCAGGGCUAGGAAUUUGGAUUGGGAAAUUAUCAGAAUACAGAUUAAAAUAGCUGAGCUCACUCAAAGAGGGCAUGCAUAUAGGAAGAGCUGUGGGCCAAGAGUGCAUUUUUAGAAAUACCUGUUUGAGAAGCAAACAGAAAAUGAGGAGCAUUAAGAAGGGAAAAUACUGAGAAGGGACAGAGAAGAGUGAAGCAAACCAGAAGAGAAGGGAUCAGGAUUUUCAUCAUGGUUAAGUUCAGCAGAGUGAUCUAGUGAAAAUGGACUGGAAGAUGGCAAUUGGAUAUAGCAGUAGGAAGGCUGAUUGCAGUGGAGUGUUAGAGGUUGUAAUCUUCUGCCCUUUCCCUUUUCUCUAUCUCAGUCUUCCCCUAGUUCCUUAAACCAGGAUCCACUGAUCUCUUUCUUUCUCCCACCUACUCCUUUUCUGUCCCCCUGUCCCCCCCUCCCUCCUUUUCUCUCUCUCUCUCUCUCUCUCUCACACACACACACACACACACACACACCCCUCUCCCCACCCCUAACUUCCUCAUCCUCCUUUGCACACACAGUCCUAUUAAUGUUCUUGAAUUAGCAUCGUAAUUUCUGAAUGAACUCUGUAUCCUUCAGCUAAGGGUAGACCUUAAAGAGGAUUGUGAUUUUGUUAGGACCUGGAGAAAGCGUAGUCAAAUAUCAGGGUAGUGUGGAUUAUGGGAGUGGAGUAAGUGUGUAAAAUCGGUCACUGCUGGGUGUCAGAAUGGACGAAGCCAGGAAAUGAUUGGAGUUCAUACCAUGAUCAGCCUCAUAAAUGAGCCAAGACCAGGAACUGACAGGAUCAAAUUAUUAUCUGGACCCAGAGUUCUGAACAUUCCUUGUCAUGAGGUUGCCUUUAAAUAACUAGGUACUUCCCUUCCAGGCCAUCCUUCUCUUUAUGUUAAAGAUACACAUCAGAAUCCAACACCAGCAUUGCUCCAAGUCUCCCCUUUGUUUAGGAGCUUAUUUGAACCUAUCUUGGGCCUUUUUGUUGCUCCUAAAUCAUACUUCUCUUGUUUUGUGAUUGACUCACAACCUUCUUCUUUAAACCUUUUCCCUUAGUUCAUAUUGAUUAACAUCCUAGUAUUCAGUUCCCCAUGUACACCUAGAUCCUUCUCCAACCCCAGCACAGGGACUAGGGUCCCUGCUGCCAGUUUCGUUUAUGCUAGUCUGUUUCUCUGGGACUGGAAUUUGCCAUCUGUAGAUCUCCUGAACGAUGCUUGCCUGCCUACCUGCCCACCCACCGUAUGGACUGUGUACUUUUUCUACCUGUUGGGAGACCCUGUGAUGCUGCUGGGCAUCUACGCACUGGCCACUAUGCCCAUCUCUUCGGAGCCAGCCUCUACAGUCCGGCCCUACUACUUAUGUUUUGGAUGAAGAUGAACCUCGAUUCCUUGAAGAAGUUGAUUACAGUGCAGAAAGUAAUGAUGAGCUAGAUAUUGAAUUGGCUGAAAAUGCAGGAGAUUAUGAGUCUUCUGCUCAAGAAGAAGU